rnacentral:rRNA from 1 species
UAGGGAAUCUUCGGCAAUGGACGAAAGUCUGACCGAGCAACGCCGCGUGAGUGAAGAAGGUUUUCGGAUCGUAAAACUCUGUUGUUAGAGAAGAACAAGGACGUUAGUAACUGAACGUCCCCUGACGGUAUCUAACCAGAAAGCCACGGCUAACUACGUGCCAGCAGCCGCGGUAAUACGUAGGUGGCAAGCGUUGUCCGGAUUUAUUGGGCGUAAAGCGAGCGCAGGCGGUUUGUUAAGUCUGAUGUGAAAGCCCCCGGCUCAACCGGGGAGGGUCAUUGGAAACUGGGAGACUUGAGUGCAGAAGAGGAGAGUGGAAUUCCAUGUGUAGCGGUGAAAUGCGUAGAUAUAUGGAGGAACACCAGUGGCGAAGGCGGCUCUCUGGUCUGUAACUGACGCUGAGGCUCGAAAGCGUGGGGAGCAAACAGG